GAUGAACGCUGGCGGCGUGCCUAAUACAUGCAAGUCGAGCGAAUGGAUUAAGAGCUUGCUCUUAUGAAGUUAGCGGCGGACGGGUGAGUAACACGUGGGUAACCUGCCCAUAAGACUGGGAUAACUCCGGGAAACCGGGGCUAAUACCGGAUAACAUUUUGAGCCGCAUGGUUCGAAAUUGAAAGGCGGCUUCGGCUGUCACUUAUGGAUGGACCCGGGUCGCAUUAGCUAGUUGGUGAGGUAACGGCUCACCAAGGCAACGAUGCGUAGCCGACCUGAGAGGGUGAUCGGCCACACUGGGACUGAGACACGGCCCAGACUCCUACGGGAGGCAGCAGUAGGGAAUCUUCCGCAAUGGACGAAAGUCUGACGGAGCAACGCCGCGUGAGUGAUGAAGGCUUUCGGGUCGUAAAACUCUGUUGUUAGGGAAGAACAAGUGCUAGUUGAAUAAGCUGACACCUUGACGGUACCUAACCAGAAAGCCACGGCUAACUACGUGCCAGCCGCCGCUGUAA
rnacentral:rRNA from 1 species